rnacentral:precursor_RNA from 10 species
GUUCUGCUCUUGUAGAUAUCUCACCGUGCAUGAGUAUUACUUCAGGUACUGAGUUCAGUUUGCUGCUUCAGUAUCUGCUGUGCUAUUCGUGUAUGGUGGAUGGUUGUUCGACUUCUACUCA